AUUGAACGCUGGCGGCAGGCCUAACACCUGCCAGUCGAACGAGCGGCGGACGGGUGAGUAAUGUCUGGGAAACUUCCCGAUGAAGGGGGAUAACUACUGGAAACGGUAGCUAAUACCGCAUACCAUCAGAUGUGCCCAGAUGGGAUUAGCUUUUUGUUGGGGUAACGUCUCUCCAAGCCGACGAUCCCUAGCUGGUCUGAGAGGAUGACCAGCCACCAUGGAACUGAGACACGGUCCAGACUCCUACGGGAGGCAGCAGUGGGGAAUAUUGCACAAUGGGCGCAAGCCUGAUGCAGCCAUGCCGCGUGUAUGAAGAAGGCCUUCGGGUUGUAAAGUACUUUCAGCGGGGAGGCGUUACCCGCAGAAGAAGCACCGGCUAACUCCGGGCCAGCAGCCGCGGUAAUAC
rnacentral:rRNA from 1 species